rnacentral:sRNA from 1 species
UUGUCAGAUAGUUGGCAAAAUAGUUGC